rnacentral:lncRNA from 1 species
GCCAGAUUUGCAGUCUCCUAUCCUGGCUCCAACCGUAAGCAGGGACAAGGAAGUGAAAGGACCUCUCUUUGGAACAAAUGUCUGUGCUGGAUCUGGCCUCUGAGCAAGAAGAAGGCAAAGGAGAAAACAACCUUAAAAAAAAGAAGAGAGAGAGAAAGAAAGGAAGGAAGGAAGAAAGGAAGGAAGGAAAGAAGGAAGAAAGAAAGGAAGAAAGAAAGAAAGAAAGAAAGAGAGAGAGAAAGAAAGAAAAGAAGGAAAGAAAGAGAAAGCUUUAUUUUAAACAUUCGACAUAAAAUUGUUUUCAAAAGUCCUUGACUGAUCCCUGAUUUGAUUUCCACCAAAGCACUUUUUUUGUUGGUGUGUGUGUGUGUGUGUGUGUGUGUGUGUGUGUGUUUCAAGAUGAGACCCAGGAAAAUGGACUUCACUCUACGCUCCUGAACCCAGAGAGGAGCCCAAUGAGCAGAGCCCAGAAAACUAGGACAAGCUCAUGAAUUGACGCUUCUAAGAAAUUAUCACAAGAGCUCUUAAAGUCAGAAAGAGCCUUCUAUAUCUAGUCUAGGAACUGUUUCCUUUGUUAUUAGACGCGUUCUCACGACCGGCCAGGAAGAACACCACAGACCAGAAUCUUCUGCGGCAAAGCUUUAUUUCUUACAUCUUCAGGAGCCAGGGUGCAGGAAGCAAGAGAGCAAGAAGCAAGAGAGCAAGAAGCAAGAGAGAGAGAAGCAAGA